AAUGAACGCUGGCGGCAGGCCUAAAACAUGCAAGUCGAACGCCCUAGCAAUAGGGAGUGGCGCACGGGUGAGUAACAUGUGGGAAUAUGCCUUUUGGUACGGAACAACGUUUGGAAACGAACGCUAAUACCGUAUGGCCCCUCCGGGGUAAAGAUUUAUCGCCAAAAGAUUAGCCCGCACUAGACUAGCUAGUUGGUAAGGUAAUGGCUUACCAAGGCGACGAUCUAUAGCUGUUCUGAGAGGAAGAUCAGCCACACUGGGACUGAGACACGGCCCAGACUCCUACGGGAGGCAGCAGUUAGGAAUAUUGGACAAUGGGCGCAAGCCUGAUCCAGCCAUGCCGCGUGAGUGAUGAAGGCCUUCGGGUUGUAAAGCUCUUUAGCCGACGAAUAUAAUGACUGUAGUCGGAGAAUAAGCCCCGGCUAACUUCGUGCCAGCCGCCGCAGUAACAC
rnacentral:rRNA from 1 species